rnacentral:lncRNA from 1 species
AUCAUGGCUAAAUGGAUCUUGUUCUGCUGUUUGUUUGUAACAUUUGUCUGUAAGUUUUAUUUAUAUUUUAUUUAAUUUCUUUCCAUAACUUAUUUUUGUUAAGGCAAACUUACUCAGGUGCACAGGGGUCUGGAAUGGGGUCACUCACAUAAGGAGGAUUUUCUUUGUUUUGGUAGGGAUUUUCCCAAUUUUGUUUUCACCACAGCUUUAGAAAUGAUGCAUUUUAUGCAAGAAAAUUUUGGAAAAUUCAUGAUUUUCCACCACAAUCCCACUUAUAAAUUCUCUGUCUUCCCUUCUCUGGAUCUUUCCUUCUCAUUUGUUUCCAAUGAAGAGCUCCGCUCGAAACGUUAAACCCUCCUUCUUUCCUGAGCGUCCAAUAAUACUAUAUUUGUUCCAUGUCCUCGUGUUGUUGUGUUUUUUUUUGUGCUUUCAUGUUUGGAUUAACUUUAUAAAUUAUCUGCCUCAUUAACAACUUAUUUACAGAACCUCAGGUCCCAAAACAUUCCCUAUAUCCCACCCUGGUUAAUUAACAGUGAGUCCUCACACCCUUCCCCACCCCAUACAACACUAAUCUUGGUACUGUGUAUGAGAAUCACCCACUAUCUUUCAAAACCACUAUCUCUCUAUCCGGUCAGUCGAAGUCGACUCUCGGUCACUCGAUGGAUCAGUGUCCUCCAGUCAGUUCUAUCCUGGGCCGCUUCUUUCAGACUGGCUAUGUCCAUUCCGGUAUCACUCCUGAUGGUGUCAAGCCAGUGGGUUCUUGGUCGGCCUCUUCCUCUCUUGCCACUGACCAUUCCGAGCAUGAUGUCCUUCUCCAGGGAUUUUCUCCGCAUCAUAUGACCAAAAUAUGUAUAUAUAUAUAUAUCCGCUCAGUCAAAGUCGACUCUCGGUCACUCGAUGGAUCAGUGUCCUCCAGUCAGUUCUAUCCUGGGCCGCUUUUUUCAGAUUGGCUAUGUUCAUUCCAGUAUCACUCUUGAUGGUGUCAAGCCAGUGGGUUCUUGGUCGGCCUCUUCCUCUCUUGCCACUGACCAUUCCAAGCAUGAUGUCCUUCUCCAGGGAUUUUCUCCGCAUAAUAUGACUGAAAUAUGCCAAUCUAUGCUUGGUGAUCCUAGCUUCUAGUGACAUUUUUGGCCUGAUCUGCUUAAGAACUUCUCCAUUGGUGAGCCUCGUUAUCUAUGGAAUCCGUAAAAGUCUUCUCCAACACCAAAGCUCGAAUGCAUUAAUUCUCUUCUGGUCAGCUUUCUUUAGUGUCCAGGUCUCACAUCCAUAUGUUGCUAUUGGGAAGACAAUUGCAUUCACCAAUCUGCAUUUGGUAGCGAGUCUGAUGUCUCUACUCUUCCAGGCCCUGCUCAUGCUGACCAUUGCCUCUCUGCCUAGUACUAUCCGCCGUCUUGUGGAGGCGCAAUGGCCCAGUGGUAAGGGCAGUGGACUCGCGGUCAUAGGAUCGCGGUUUCGAUUCCCAGACCGGGCGUUGUGAGUGUUUAUUGAGCGAAAACACCUAAAGCUCCACGAGGCUCUGGCAGGGAUGGUGGUGAUCCCUGCUGUACUCUUUCACCACAACUUUCUCUCACUCUUACUUCCUGUUUCUGUUGUACCUGUAUUUCAAAGGGCCGGCCUUGUCACUCUCUGUGUCACGCUGAAUAUCCCCAAGAACUACGUUAAGGGUACACGUGUCUGUGGAGUGCUCAGCCACUUACACGUUAAUUUCACGAGCAGGCUGUUCCGUUGAUUCGGAUCAACCGGAACCCUCGUCGUCGUAACCGACGGAGUGCUUCCAUCCAUCCACCGUCUUAUUUCUGGAGUGCAGUCACCGUCUCGAUUUAUUUUGGAGCCAAGGAAGACGAAAUGAUCAACCACUUCAAUCUCUUCAUUAUCGAUCUUGAUGCUGGUGUUUGUUGUGGCUGCUGUUGACAUGAUCUUCGUUUUCUUAACCACAACCCGUCAUUAUUUAAUAAAUUCUCAGAUGUUUUUACUUUAACAGCUUCGUUUCCCUCUGUGUCUGCUGUAGUGUUUCCUGGUUUAUCGAAAUACGUGGGAAUUUCAUUUAUGUUUCCAAUAUUUUCUAGGGAGAACCCAAACAUUUUACACUCCUUCAGAACAAAUUUUUUCAUCAAUGUCUUUUGGCAGUUUCUGAGCAAUAUGAGUUUUUUUUUGGCAAUCGCAGUCACUUAUCAAUACAUGUCAGCCUCAACAUCCAAAGCCCUCAUGUUCCACCGUUUUGUCCUGCACCUUUCAGGGUCCACCUCUUCCACAGAUUGCCUCCGCAGUUAAAGAUCAGCACUUCUUUACAUAGCAGUCCUUGUCCGUUCAUUUUUAGAAUGACAUUGUAAGACAGGUGCAAAAGGCUGACCCAUUACCAGUUUAAACACGAAACAGGUAGAAUCUUUGUGCUAGGUAUGGCUACUUUAACUCGUUAGCAAUCAGUUUAUUCCGUUUAAUGUAAUGCUCCUUUAGACUUGGUUUUUGAAUUAAUCAUUCGUUAUCUUGUAGUUUUGACAUUUUGCUGAUGUGAUUGUUUAUUUUUAGACUGACAUUGUAGGGUAGGUGUGAGGGGCUGGACCCAGCCACUUAGAACAUAAAACGGAUAUGGCUGGUUUAAUCCUUUAGCAAUCAAAUUACUGUGAAAUGUAAUGUUCAUUUAUUCACAUUGUUUUGAAUUAUUUCAUCUUAAAAUCAAAAAUUUUUGUUUUCAUCUUUUACAGAUUUGUCAAGUGCACAAAAUUAUAAUAUCACCCAAAGUGGUAAAUAUAUUCUUCUUUCUUGCCUUUGACCCUCCAACGUGGAAUAUAGGCUACUCAUAAUUGAAUUCUAUGUUGCAUAAUUUUUCGCCUCUGUACUUAUACUCUGCCAUGAAUGUCCCCCUUUCUCUAGUUCGUUUUUUGUUGAUCUACGCCACUAGUUCUUAGGCCUACCUUUCUUUCUAUAUCCAAGUUAAGCUAAGUUAAGGUAAGUUAAGUUAAUUUUUGGGCUCAAAAAGCAAAAAAGCAAGGCCAUUUAGGGGGACAUGGAGUUAUGUACAGGGUGGUGUUCAUGCAAAGAGUUCAGGCCAUUUGUGGUCAAGGGAGACUUUGAAUCGAGCGGUCGUUGGCAUCUUCACUAUCUCGUCCGGCAGCUUAUUCCACGGAUCCGCAACCCGGACGGAGAAAGCCCCUCUUCUUCGAUUGAGAUGAAAUUGUCGCAGAUAGAGUGCAUUCCACUCUGCGCUUUGCUCUACAAUGAUACAAAGAGUGGCGGUUUGAUCUCCACAUGAACGGUUUUUCCUAAAUCCAGCUUCUUCUUUACUGCUGUCCGCAUCAUCUCUAAAAGUAUCCUGUUAAAAUCUUUUCCGGGAGCUGAUAAUAGCCUAAUCCCUCUAUAAGAUGCUGAGUACUCAUCAGCCAGUUAUAGAGGCUUUCCAUUAAUAAAAAAGUUAUCAAAUCAAGUGGCAACAUUAUAGAGAAGGUAGAUAUAUAGACAAAGAUGUGGAUUUAAAUUUUAAGAACAUAUGAGGUACUAAGAUUUGGUUGUUCCACUACAUCAUACGUUCUUAAAAUUAAAAUCCACAUCUUUGUCUAUAUAUCUACCUUCUCUAUAAUGUUGCCACGUGAUAUGAAAAUUUUUGUAUUAACAGAAAACCUCUAUAAUUGGCUGAUGAGUGCUCAGUAUUUUAAAACUGUUGUAAUACUUACAAAAUUUAAUAAAAUGAUGUAGUACGAAACGAUCGUACCAAAUUACUGGAGUCAUUCUUGUUGCUUAUUUUCAUUAUAAUCACCCCACGGAUUUCUAUGGAUAACACCAUACAAAAUUCUGGUGCAUCUAAAUUAAGUACCAUAUUCAUUUGAAUCUAAAUUUUUGCUGAACUUAUAUAUAUAUAUAUUUGCCAACAUAAUGUGGCAGUCUUGGUUAGGACGAAUGAUACUGUAAAUUUAGUCUUAGGAAACAUCAUCUAUCUGCAUACCAAUGGUCUCUGGGUUAUUUCCCUUCAUCAGCACAGAAUAACUGCUCAGCUAGAGAUGACUCCACUAAACUCUAGUCCAAAAUAUAUACUUUUCAAAGUGACACACAGUCACUGAUCUAACAAAUAGAAAAUUAUUUCUAAAUCUCUGAACAAGACAUUGAGUAACAGUACUCUAGGGUAAAGAUUAUUCGCCAACAUAAUGUGGCGGUCCUGGUUAGGACGAUUGUUACUGUUCUUUAGCCCUAGUAAACAUCGUCUCCAGCUGGCUAUAUGACGCACUAGCUGCAUCCUUAUAUUUUCAAACAAGGGAGUUUAGCAUCCCAUAAGACAUAGAUAGCGUGUCAUAUACCCAGCUGGAGGCAGUGUUUCCUGGGGCUAAAUAACAGUAACAAUCAUCCUAGCUAGGACUGCCAUAUUAUGUUGGCAAGUAAUCUUUACUCUCGAUUAAUGUUACUGAAUGUUUCUUGUUCAGUGACUUAGAAAUAAUAAUUUUCUAUUUCUAUUUACAUAUAUAUAAAUAAUGGGCUUCUUUCAGUUUCCAUCUAUCAAAUACACUCACAAGGCUUUGAAACACACAAGUGUGUAUGUAUAUAUAUACACACACAUAUACAUACACAAACACACACACAUAUACAUACAAUGGGCUUCUUUCAAUUUCCAUCUACCAAAUCCACUCACAAGGCUGAUGCUGUAGUAGAAGACACUUUCCCAAGGUGCUGUGUAGUGGGACUGAACCCAGGACCAUAUGAUUUGGAAGCAAACUUCUUAACUGAUUUCGUUAUUUCAGGACCUGCUGUGCUCAAUAGAAACCUCACCCUUUCGAUAACAAUACCUAAUAUGAAACGACCGGUGGUUUGGAAGUGCCAGAAUUAUAAAUAUGAAUGUGACAGGACAUGCGCUGAUGGCCCUGACUAUAAAGUGACUCAUUUAAGAGAUACCUCCACGCUUUGGAUCAAAAAAGUAACUGAGAAAUGUUUGACUUGGAAAUUUGAAGAUGACAACCUUAAUAUUGGAAGAAUUGAUUUGGAGAUAAAGAGUAAGGAAAUGAUUUAUAGUAAUUUCUUUAUUAACCACAGAGGGCUAACUCAAAGCAAAACAUUCGGGAGGGUCCAGUGUGGGUUUUAGCAUGUAAAAAGUCAUACAAAGAAUAAAAGAAAUUCAAAGUAACAUCCCUGAUAGUUUGGGGACUUUGAAGGGCCACACGUAAAGAAAGCCCACAAAAUCCAUGGUCUCCCUGACCACCAGGGUGGAUGCCCUCUCCUGGUCUUUCCUCUCCAAUAUACAGGUACACUCUGAGAGAAGGCCCAUUCACUCAGGUAAUGCUCACCCCUCUCACCCACCUUUCAACAAACUGCUUGGAAGCCAGCACUUACCUCUCCACCUUGAUUUUCCUCUUCAAGUGAAACCUGACAAAGUUUAUUAGGGUUUUGACAAAAUGGCAAUUGCUGGUCUUCAGCCCUUUCAGACAUGUCCACUAUAUGAUCCCCUUUGCCAUGGGCCCCGAGCAGAUAAAUACUGGUUGCCCUUCUUGGUUGAAGGAAAGUAGAGGGGCCAUCUUCACAAUGGACUCAGGUGAUAGUUGUAUAUAAUAAGGGUUUCUUUUAUUUGCCACAAGGGCAAAGGAUGAGGGGGUCAAUACCAAGGUGUGUGUGUGUGGGGGGGUUAUAUUCUCUUUCUCUUUCUCUUUUUACUUGUUUCAGUCAUUUGACUGUGGCCAUGCUGGAGCACCGCCUUUUGUCGAGCAAAUCGACCCCAGGAUUUAUUCUUUGUAAGCCUAGUACUUAUUCUAUCGGUUCUCUUUUGCCAAACCGCUAAUUAACGUGGACGUAGACACACCAGCAUCGGUUAUCAAGCAGUACUGGGAGGACAAACAGACACACAAACACACAUAUAUAUAAUCAUAUAUACGAUGGGAUUCUUUCAGUUUCCGUCUACCAAAUCCACUCACAAGGCUUUAUAUAACCAAGCUCAUGUGUGCAACAUAGUGUUACUGGAAAUUUUGAUGGGGACUUUUCCUUUUAUAUCACUUUGAAAUGGAAUUUGUAUAACAGAAACGAAAGUAUUUUUUAAUAGUUUAGUAUGAAAAUGGUCAAACUUGGGAGAUAUUACUAUUUUUUAUUAAAAACAAAAGGUAUAUAUUUUAUUGUUUGUCAAUUGCAGAUCCGAAACCUGAACUUAGUGGAUCAAGACCCCUCAGAACACUCGAGAUUGUCGAAAUCAUUCUUGGCAUACUCAUCCUUGCUGCAAUCCUUGUCUGACUCUCUUUCUUCUGCUGCAAAUAUUUUAAGAAAUAAACAUUUGUAUAAGAACGCUACAAUUUGUGUUUUUUUAUCUAUAUUUAUCCUCUAAAAGGAAAAAAUAAUUCUAUUUAUCAGAUUAAGACUUUCACUGACUGCAUUGGCAUAGUUGGUUUUUUAAAUAAAUUAUAUCCAUAUUUUAGCAAUAUUUUUUCCAAAACUCUGCUCCGUCUUUUACUGGGAAUUUAAAAAUCUUAAAAGCUAUUAACUGUAUAUUUAUCAAUUUAGGACAACAACUAAUUUCAUUUAUAUAAUUAACAGACAAAACUACAUCAAUACACUAAACUUGAAAUCAAUAAAUUUGAAACCGAAGGAGCUGAAGGGAAAAACACAAACAGAAAAGGUCCACUUUUUAAAAUAUUCUUUCCAGAAAAAGUGAGCGGUAGCAGAUUCAGCAUGGAAAAUUACAUGAAUAUUCCAAAUUUGAAAAUUUUGACUGAAUCUUAGAAUGCAAAAGAAUGUGAUGUGUAUGUGUGUGUGUGGUGUCCCACCAACGUGUGCUAUUCCAAUAUAAUUGCAAUCUACACUUUCUUAAAGGUAUUUCUGAAAAUUUUCAUUUAAAAAUACCCAUUUUUCCAGAAGUUAUGAAGAAACAAAGUCGGUGGGGUACAUUUGCAUAUGUAUACCCAUUGCUUUAGCAUAAAUAUCUUCAAUUAUAAUCAAAGGGUCACUGCUUCCGUAGCCAACGAGAACAAAAUCCUUAAGCAUAGGAAAUGAAGUGUGACCCAUUUCUUCCACCUUUGACAUUUGCCACAGUGAAGUUCUUACCAUUGUUGGCGCCUCGCCUUACAGAAUGGUUCGGUGAUCCCUAUAAGGGUACUUGCUGCACCUCCUGUUUGUGUUUCUUUUGGUUUAGGAUUUGUAUUUUAAUGUGGUAUUGUAUUAUAUGUGUAUCAUGUAAAGACAUGUUAUAUAAGAUAAAAACAACAGAAAAAUAAGCCAACAAAAUCAAAAUAUUUACUUAUUAAAAAAAAUAAAAACUCUUUACAGAAUUUGCAAGAAAAAUACGAGAUGGUAUCAAAAAGUUCUCGGACAAGCUAUGUUUCAUAAAAAUUACUAAUUUACCAAAGUUUUAACAACAUCUCCUGUGAAAUACUCACCUUUCACAGCAAUACACUGGCCCCACAAUUCCUACUGCUUCAGGAAUCUGUCCUGGAAGUUGUUUUCUUUAAGCAAGUCAAGGACCUUUUGCGAUUUUAUUUCCUUUUCUGUAUAAUUGUUUAUUUAUUUUUAUAUCUGAAACGCUGAUUAUUUCUUGCAUAAAAUUAUAAAUUAUUGUCAAGUGUCCAA